rnacentral:misc_RNA from 1 species
UAGAAAAAAUAAGCCUAGAAGGAUAUCCUACUUCUCAACUUUCCAACUUUGAAAAUAGAAUAGAUCAGUAAUCAUGAAGGCUUUUCCAGUUAUUUGCUUGGGCUUUGCAAUCUUUUCAUCCUCUAUAUGUGUGAAUAUCAAUAUCUUGCAGCAAAUUGGAUACAUCAAGCAACAGGUCAGGCAACUAAGCUAUUACUCACAAAGUUCAAGCUCCUACGUAGUGGUCAAGCUUUUACCGAAUAUCCAACCCACUGAUAAUAGCUGUGAAUUUAAGAGUGUAACUCAAUACAAUAAGACCUUGAGUAAUUUGCUUCUUCCAAUUGCAGAAAACAUAAACAAUAUUACGUCGCCCUCACCUGGGUCAAGACGUCAUAAACGGUUUGCUGGCAUUGCCAUUGGCAUUGCUGCGCUCGGUGUUGCGACCGCGGCACAAGUGACUGCCGCUGUCUCAUUAGUUCAAGCACAGACAAAUGCACGUGCAAUAGCAGCGAUGAAAAAUUCAAUACAGGCAACUAAUCGGGCAGUCUUCGAAGUGAAGGAAGGCACCCAACAGUUAGCUAUAGCGGUACAAGCAAUACAAGACCAUAUCAAUACUAUUAUGAACACCCAAUUGAACAAUAUGUCUUGUCAGAUCCUUGAUAACCAGCUUGCAACCUCCCUAGGAUUAUACCUAACAGAAUUAACAACAGUGUUCAGGCCACAAUUAAUUAAUCCAGCAUUGUCACCGAUUAGUAUACAAGCCUUGAGGUCUUUGCUUGGAAGUAUGACACCUGCAGUGGUUCAAGCAACAUUAUCUACUUCAAUUUCUGCUGCUGAAAUACUAAGUGCCGGUCUAAUGGAGGGUCAGAUAGUUUCUGUUCUGCUAGAUGAGAUGCAGAUGAUAGUUAAGAUAAACGUUCCAACCAUUGUCACACAAUCAAAUGCAUUGGUGAUUGACUUCUACUCAAUUUCGAGUUUUAUUAAUAAUCAAGAAUCCAUAAUUCAAUUGCCAGACAGGAUCUUGGAGAUCGGAAAUGAACAAUGGCGCUAUCCAGCUAAGAAUUGUAAGUUGACAAGACACCACAUAUUCUGCCAAUACAAUGAGGCAGAGAGGCUGAGCCUAGAAACAAAACUAUCGGUUGCAGGCAAUAUUAGUGCCUGUGUGUUCUCAUCUAUAGCAGGGAGUUAUAUGAGGCGAUUUGUAGCACUGGAUGGAACAAUUGUUGCAAACUGUCGAAGUCUAACGUGUCUAUGCAAGAGUCCAUCUUAUCCUAUAUACCAACCUGACCAUCAUGCAGUCACGACCAUUGAUCUAACGUCAUGUCAAACAUUGUCCCUGGACGGACUGGAUUUCAGCAUUGUCUCGCUAAGCAACAUCACUUACGCUGAGAAUCUUACUAUUUCAUUGUCUCAGACAAUCAAUACUCAACCCAUUGAUAUAUCAACUGAGCUGAGUAAGGUUAAUGCAUCCCUCCAAAAUGCCGUUAAAUACAUAAAAGAGAGUAACCAUCAACUCCAAUCCGUUAGUGUAAGUUCUAAAAUCGGAGCUAUAAUUGUAGCAGCCUUAGUUUUGAGCAUCCUGUCGAUUAUCAUUUCGCUAUUGUUUUGCUUCUGGGCUUACAUUGCGACUAAAGAAAUCAGAAGAAUCAACUUCAAAACAAAUCAUAUCAACACAAUAUCAAGUAGUGUCGAUGAUCUCAUCAGGUACUAAUUUUAAAUUGGUGAUUCGUCCUGCAAUUGGAAAAGAUUUAGAAAAAAA